rnacentral:lncRNA from 1 species
GGAAGCCGCGGCCCUGCCGGAAACUGGGCGCCGCGUCAGCAGGGGGAACGAAAUCGCGGGUCCCUGAGGGCCUCGCCGCUGGGGAGCCCUGACUUCAACCUGUGCCACGAGAGUGCCGAGUCCAAAGGCGCUUUUUCUGGCCCGAGGGCUGAAGGAGUUUCGCCCUCAGAAGCAGAGGCUUCUGAAACAUUUGCCUUAAACUGCCAUGACAGAUCCUUCCACGUUCUGGACCGUUCCCAAGCGUUUCACAGGAUUGUUUAGGAGCGAGAUCCCGAAAUAAAUUCAGAGAAACGGAAACACGGAAUCAUGAAUAGAGCCCCCCAAAUAAUGGAACCUCUCCAGGGAAUGAGUCAGGAACACCGCAGGCCAGGCCGAGCCCUUUUGGAGCCUAAGGGAGAAGGAUGAUGCUCAUCUUAAAGCAUUUUAAUGGUGAGUUUUCCCAAAAAUGUUAAAGUAGUUAAAAGUACUGUAAGUAUUUG